CCUACGGGGGGCAGCAGUGGGGAAUAUUGCGCAAUGGGCGAAAGCCUGACGCAGCGACGCCGCGUGAGGGAUGAAGGUCUUCGGAUCGUAAACCUCUGUCAGCAGGGAAGAACGGUCACUGUGCUAAUCAGCAGUGAAUUGACGGUACCUGCAAAGGAAGCACCGGCUAACUCCGUGCCAGCAGCCGCGGUAAUACGGAGGGUGCGAGCGUUAAUCGGAAUUACUGGGCGUAAAGCGCUCGUAGGCGGUAUGUCAAGUCAAGGGUGAAAUCCCCGCGCUCAACGUGGGAACUGCCUUUGAAACUGGCAAACUGGAGUGUGGGAGAGGAUAGUGGAAUUCCAGGUGUAGGAGUGAAAGCCGUAGAUAUCUGGAGGAACAUCAGUGGUGAAGGCGACUAUCUGGCACAUAACUGACGCUGAGGAGCGAAAGCGUGGGUAGCAAACAGGAUUAGAUACCCGAGUAGUC
rnacentral:rRNA from 1 species